AAGACCACAAACUUGCGACCUUUCGACUUUCGAUUUCAAUUCAGAACAAAGUUUCUUCCUUUUUGGUUUUUGGUGUUUCAGAAACCCUAACCCACGAAGGGAAAUCUCCGCAUCCAGGAUCCACCCAUUUGUAAUUGUCAGAGCUAACGUUGCGGGAGCUUUGACAAUGAACCACAUCAGAUCAUUGAGAGGUAUCAUGAGUAUUAAGAGGCGGUUAGGUCAUUGGACCGACGAACAUUUGCUGCUGAGACUGGCGGCAAAGCAAAAAAAGUGUCAGCGGGGGAGCAGGAGCUGAUGCUCCAAAAGCAUCAACACGCAAGGAAAUCCGGUAUACCAAUGUAAUUGGUGCCAAUAUUCGGUAGAGCAUAUCCCCAGAUCUUGCCAGAUUCUCUAUGCCUUGAUUGGCUGUGGCAUUCUCUCCCCUGCGAAGAUCUCAAAGGCUUUGUCAAGCUGGACAACCGUGCAAGAAUCAAGGAAAUUAACUCCUAACAGGCUAAGAAUUGACAUAAAGCAAUCUGUAAAAGGAAAAAAUCAAUAAGGCAUUUAUAUAUUUUAUUUCUUUUUCCUUUUCAGUAAAGAUUGCAUUCAUUAGAGUCUUUGGUGGUCUUGACUGUCCACCGUUUUCCUUUUUCAUAGUAAUUUAAUACACAUGGCUGGUUGGUUAAUUUAACAGUAGAUUAUUGGCAAAAAAUGCAGUAACAAGGAGAUUUGCAAAUUUUGACAUGGUCUUUUCUGGGCCAUGCUGCUCAAUCUAUGCCAUGAGGAAACAAGAGGAACAGGGUUAGACCCUUCCUGAAGAAUUUUUUUUUUUUUGUUGAUGGGAUCCAUCUGUUUCCAUGUAAAUUGACCUCAAAACGAACGAGCAAGUGUUGCUUCAUCUCAUGCAAUCAGAAAGUUCAUGGAAUUAUGCAGUUGGCCCCAAGUAUUAGACAUUGUCAUUGAACUCUUAAUAGGUAGAAGCCUCCUCACCCAACUCUUAACAAAUGGUGACCUCCAUCCUUGCUCUAGAGCUUCACAUUGAGGUACAAGCUUUUCCUUCUUCCCUCUUAUGAUUAACUGGUGGCCCUUACUAUGCUUAUGAGUAGGUGUACGACAAGCUUGGGAUUUUUAUUCUUAGCUUAACUUUUUCUUGUUGAUAGACUAGAGAAAAUUGUGGGUUAAUAUGUUACAAUAGGUACCAUCAUCACAAUUAUCUUUUUAUUUUUAUAAUUAGGUGUUCUAGUUAUGUUGGAGGCCCUACAUUUUUUUACCGUCUUAACCAAACAUGUAUCUAUAAUUUGUUAUAAAAUUUAUGUGGUUAUACUAUAAAAUUUCAUUUACGGACAA